CCUACGGGUGGCAGCAGUGGGGAAUUUUGGACAAUGGGCGCAAGCCUGAUCCAGCUAUUCCGCGUGUGGGAUGAAGGCCCUCGGGUUGUAAACCACUUUUGUCGAGAACGAAAAGACACCUUUUCAUACAGCGUGUUGCUGACGGUACUCUAAGAAUAAGCACCGGCUCACUACGUGCCAGCAGCCGCGGUAAUACGUAGGGUGCGUGCUGUAAUCGGAAUUACUGGGCGUAAAGGGGGCGCAGGCGGUUGAGGAAGACAGAUGUGAAAUGCCCGAGCUUAACUCGGGAAUGGCAUAUGUGACUGCUGGACUAGAGUGGGUCAGAGGGAGGUGGAAUGCCAGGUGUAGCAGUGAAAUGUGUAGAUAUGGGGAAGAACACCGAUGGCGAAGGCAGCCUCCUGGGACAUAACUGACGCUCAGGCACGAAAGCGUGGGGAGCAAACAGGAUUAGAUACCCGGGUAGUC
rnacentral:rRNA from 1 species